GAGGAUAUAGCUCAGUGAUUAGAGCGCAUACUUAGCACGCACGAGGUUGUGGGUUCAAUCCCCAGUACAUUCU
rnacentral:tRNA from 1 species